CAGCUGGAUAACUGCGGAAAUCAGAGACCGGAUGACCUUGAACGGUUCAACUUCACGUUAUGUCCAAACGAUCCCCUUCUCCAGAGCCAUCAACGAAUGCCCCCCCCCUGUAUAGAGCGCCGCGAACGCCGUUUCGAGGUACCUGCAGUGUUUUGAAAAAAUAGAGCUAAAGCAAGUAAGAGGCCCAUGCUCCUGUUAUCGAUAAUAAAGGUGAAGUGGCGGGUAAUCGCUAUUUUUAUUUGAUUGUAUUCGUUGAUUAGGGCAUUAGAUAAACGAGCAAACAUUUACAUGCGUCAUCUACAGAUGAUUUUCUACAAAACUAACUAUGGUUCAAUUAAACAAGUUCAUUUUAUAUUUUUUCUCCAGCCAACAUCAUUCGCAAAAUUAUAAUGAUUAUUAACGAUCCACUGCAAUUAUCUACAUCAGUCAGUUUUUCAAUUUGUAACUCUGCCGGCUAAGUACAUUGUGGAAAAGGAUGAAUCAAUUCGAAAUAAAAGUCAUUAACUAAUUUAUACAAGUCAGAUUUAAUACCAUAAAUUUUCAAAUAAAUGACCUUCUGUUCUUCCAAAAGAACAGAUUAGCGUUUUCUCUGAAUUGUAUUACAAAAACAUUGAACAAAGAGAAUUAAACACAUAUUAUUCUUGCCUGAUUCAUUGAAAAGUGGAUUGAAGACGACGCCGCGAGUUUUUGAUCUGCUCGGGCUUCUAGGAAUGUUCCCUAUUCCUAAACUUCAUUACAGAAACGCUUCAAUUGAGGGAGGUAAAGUUCUUCCACAGUGUCCUUAAAUUCGGAUAUAGGAUACAACCCUCCUGAUGAAGAUUUACCGGGCAGUUCCAGUAGAACAGGUGGAGCGGUCACAGAUGCGCUUUUGUGGCUCAUGUAAUGGUCCUCAAAUGUCUACGAACCUGGAUAUACGACUUCCCGUCAAUUUUGUGCAACUCCAAUAUGACAUGACUACCGUACUGAGGAAUGUGCUCUUCAUCGUAAGCCUUUAGGGCACUCAGAAGUCCGACUAUGUGCAUAUCGUCACCCACGUAGACUCCUAUCCUUUCUGUAUGAUGGAACAUUGGGUGAUCACGCAUUAUGGUUUCUAACAGCAUUCUUGUUCCAAACAAUGAUCUCAUCUCCGGAGUCCAUGUGUGAAGUCCAUAGUUUAAAAGCAUAAGUCGUUUCAGAUCUCCUUCAGGAAAUAUGGCUUGUGUCCACACUUCUGGCAAAUACCGGGUAUUCAUCUGAAAAGUGUGAAAAUAGAUUAAUUACUGGCGAUAAUUAUACACUAUUUAUGAAAUUUCUUUGAAUUUUUAAUGGCUAAUUUUAAUUCAUGUGCAGUAGAUAGAAGAGUUCAAGGAAUGAAGUGAUGAUGCACCAGUUGCGUUGUAAAAAAUGGUAAAAACCACAUCAUGUCAUUAAUAAAGUCUCAAUAAUAGGCCCAAAGGACUUGAUAUGUUGAUAAACAUAAUUUUCUAAGGGAAAAGAUAUAACUAUUUUCGAACCUUCUCACGGAAAUAGGUCCACAGAUUUCUAUAUUGGGCCAAAUUCGUGGCAGUCCCUGCGUAACGAUCUAUUUUUUGGUAAGCUGGAGUCGAGAAGUCAAGACGACUGAAUGCCGAGUUCUCCAGUUUUUUAAAAGACGCCAUGUACCCUGGACAGUUACGCCAAGCAUCGAAGAACAUAUUUGACAAUGUCUCUGAUGCACCGACAUCCACUCCGAUUUCAGGCAUUUUGGUAAGAUCUACGCCACCGCUGACGAAUUUAUCGACGAGCUUCUGGUCCUGCAUGUGUAAUCCUAGUCCCACUAGUUUGGCGGUUUGGACUGCCUUCGUAGCGUUCAUUGCUAUCAAAUUAAGGGUGCUUACGGGCAAGUUAAUCGGUAACGACAAAUUCGUUAUUUGAGGAAUUAAACUGCUAUAGGUUGAACCUAAAACUGCUCCUAAUCUUAGAGCAUGCUGUUUUCCUUCCUGCAAAAAAAACCAGAGCAUUAAAUCAGUUGUGAGGCUUUCGAUCAUGAUUUCUCCAUUCAGUUUAGUUCACUUCGCCCAAACAUUCCCUGGAAUUUUUACUUUGACUUUGUGUCCGUAUGGUGUUCAUGAACCAAUCAGAAAUGAAAAUUAAUAAACUGCGUUAAUCAGUUAUUAUAUUAAUAUCUACAUACGAUUGUCAACUGCUUGGCACCCUCCGGCAAAUUGCUGUGCAAAGUCCGACGCAAAUGUGGAUACUCUUUAUAAAUAUCCAAGUCAGGAUUACUCUCUGUAUGAUGCACUAGAACUAGAACGGAAUCAAGUUCUGCAUUGCAAAAUUUUGAAUGUAAGAUGAAACAAAAUAUUGCCCACACGUAGUUGAACUUCAUCGUAUAAUACUCGGUCUUUGCAGGUAGAACUAAAAUACACUGACUUUCAAACUUGCGAGUAGUUUAAAUAGUCCCUGGUGGGCAUUCGUCAAUAAUACAUGAGUCGACAUGUUAUUAGUGUGUAUUUUAAGAAUUUUUAUAAUCAGUUUACGACUUUAUAAUGGAAAGUGAAUACGUGCCAAGUAACUCAAAAUAUAAGAAUUCAUUCGAUAAUUUUUAUUCAAGUAGUUAAUGUGAAGUUAAUGACCCAUGAGUUUAAUCUCAUUGGUGAGAAAAUAUCAGACGUAAAUUAUUUCCAUUCUUGCUUCUAUUGCAAAACUAAAAAAAUUAAAAUCUUUGAAGUAACUUCCUUAGUUUUCUUCUUUGAAGUAAAUUCUUGAAGCAAUUUUUAAAAAAUUUAAUAUAUGAAGAAGACACAUAUUAUAUUUUAAAAUUUUAUGUCACUCGGUCUUUGUUCUGUUACUUUAAUAUGAUGUUUGAAAUCUUUGAAUUAUGCAGGAAAAAAAUUAUGUCAUUUUUGCAAAGUGCACAGCUCAUAUCGACAAUAUUAUACUUUAAUUUUAUUGCUCCAGGCUCUUUGAUUGUUUACCCUGUUAAGCACCGAGAGCUGGAGGCCAUGACAGCUACAGUCCUCAUCCAGGUUAAGUGAUAAUCAGUUUGAUCAUGAUUAGCUAAAGUGUCCGCUUAUUAUUUUUAUAAAUGAGAAAAAAAGGUUCACCCCAUCAAUUACAAAAUCAUUACUAAGAUAAAUGGAUUCUUUAAAUAGCUCUUUUAUUAGACAACCUAUGACCUCAUCAUCCUCUUUAUAAGAAUUAAUACAUAAUUAAAUAGUAACAAUCGCUCACAAGUUCCCUAUUUUUUUUGCAAUAGCCCUUGUACUAGUCUUUCUCUUCCUAUCACACUACGUCAGUAGCAAACUGGUAAUUUGACAUUUGUGGUACUCAUGCUGUUAUCUCAAGAAUAAGUGACUCUAGGACUUCCAUUGACAUUUUCCUCUGAAAUCAUCUAUCGACAUUCUAAUUAUAUAGUUAACCAGAUGUGAAGAAUUAAUUACUUCUAUGUUAAAUUUUCUAUAUUUCUUCAAAAAUAAUAUUCUUCUGAGGAUAAUAAAUUGCAGGAGAUAAUGUUAGGAAGUAUUUUUCAAAGGACAAUAAAUUAACCCGAAAAAGUCUUCGUUUACUGUGCUCCGAAGCUGCUCAUCAAUCAGAUGAUUUCUUAUUUAUCAAAAAAAAAAAAAUCAUACUCUUCUUUUAUAUCUUUGUUAACUACUAUUUUUGCUCCUCAACUGCUGUUUUCAUGUGAAAAUGUCAAUACAUUUUUUUUAAAGAAUCAACUCUUUUCCGUUGGACCCACCCCUUACGAUUCCACAAAAAAUUAAAAAAACUUUGAAAAA